rnacentral:rRNA from 1 species
GACGAACGCUGGCGGCGUGCUUAACACAUGCAAGUCGAGCGGUAAGGCCCUUUCGGGGUACACGAGCGGCGAACGGGUGAGUAACACGUGGGUGACCUGCCCUCAGCUCUGGGUAUAAGCCUGGGAAACCGGGUCUAAUACCGGAUAUGACUCCAUGACGCAUGUUGUGGGGUGGAAAGCCUUGUGCGGCUGAGGAUGGGCCCGCGGCCUAUCAGCUUGUUGGUGGGGUGAUGGCCUACCAAGGCGACGACGGGUAGCCGGCCUGAGAGGGCGACCGGCCGACACUGGGACUGAGACACGGCCCAGACUCCUACGGGAGGCAGCAGUGGGGAAUCUUGCGCAAUGGGCGAAAGCCUGACGCAGCGACGCCGCGUGAGGGAUGACGGCCU